rnacentral:rRNA from 1 species
ACUGGCGGACGGGUGAGUAACGCGUGAGAAUCUGCCUUGGGGUCGGGGACAACCACUGGAAACGGUGGCUAAUACCGGAUAAGCCGAUUGGUGAAAGAUUUAUUGCCCGAAGAGGAGCUCGCGUCUGAUUAGCUAGUUGGUGAGGUAAGAGCUCACCAAGGCAGCGAUCAGUAGCUGGUCUGAGAGGACGAUCAGCCACACUGGGACUGAGACACGGCCCAGACUCCUACGGGAGGCAGCAGUGGGGAAUUUUCCGCAAUGGGCGAAAGCCUGACGGAGCAAGACCGCGUGAGGGAGGAAGGCUCUUGGGUUGUAAACCUCUUUUCUCAGGGAAAAAGCUCUGACGGUACCUGAGGAAUCAGCCUCGGCUAACUCCGUGCCAGCAGCCGCGGUAAUACGGAGGAGGCAAGCGUUAUCCGGAAUUAUUGGGCGUAAAGCGUCCGCAGGUGGCAAUUCAAGUCUGCUGUCAAAGCACGGGGCUUAACUCCGUUAAGGCAGUGGAAACUGAAUAGCUAGAGUGCCGUAGGGGUAGAGGGAAUUCCCGGUGUAGCGGUGAAAUGCGUAGAGAUCGGGAAGAACAUCGGUGGCGAAAGCGCUCUACUGGACGGCAACUGACACUCAGGGACGAAAGCUAGGGGAGCGAAUGGGAUUAGAUACCCC